rnacentral:ribozyme from 1 species
AGCUUUAACUGAGACAGCGAGAAAGAGUAUAUCAGUGAGUGAUUUAGCUGCUGAGUCUUCUGCUAGAUCUACUGGGGAUCUAAAAGCUCUGCUACAGCAAAUGGGACAAGAGAAGGUGG